rnacentral:rRNA from 1 species
GAUGAACGCUGGCGGCGUGCCUAAUACAUGCAAGUCGAGCGAACAGACGAGGAGCUUGCUCCUCUGACGUUAGCGGCGGACGGGUGAGUAACACGUGGAUAACCUACCUAUAAGACUGGGAUAACUUCGGGAAACCGGAGCUAAUACCGGAUAAUAUAUUGAACCGCAUGGUUCAAUAGUGAAAGACGGUUUUGCUGUCACUUAUAGAUGGAUCCGCGCCGCAUUAGCUAGUUGGUAAGGUAACGGCUUACCAAGGCGACGAUGCGUAGCCGACCUGAGAGGGUGAUCGGCCACACUGGAGCUGAGACACGGUCCAGACUCCUACGGGAGGCAGCAGUAGGGAAUCUUCCGCAGAGGGCGAAAGCCUGACGGAGCAACGCCGCGUGAGUGAUGAAGGUCUUCGGAUCGUAAAACUCUGUUAUUAGGGAAGAACAAAUGUGUAAGUAACUAUGCACGUCUUGACGGUACCUAAUCAGAAAGCCACGGCUAACUACGUG